AUGAACGCUGGCGGCGUGCCUAAUACAUGCAAGUCGAGCGAACAGAUGAGGAGCUUGCUCCUCUGACGUUAGCGGCGGACGGGUGAGUAACACGUGGAUAACCUACCUAUAAGACUGGGAUAACUUCGGGAAACCGGAGCUAAUACCGGAUAAUAUAUUGAACCGCAUGGUUCAAUAGUGAAAGACGGUUUUGCUGUCACUUAUAGAUGGAUCCGCGCCGCAUUAGCUAGUUGGUAAGGUAACGGCUUACCAAGGCAACGAUGCGUAGCCGACCUGAGAGGAUGAUCGGCCACACUGGAACUGAGACACGGUCCAGACUCCUACGGGAGGCAGCAGUAGGGAAUCUUCCGCAAUGGGCGAAAGCCUGACGGAGCAACGCCGCGUGAGUGAUGAAGGUCUUCGGAUCGUAAAACUCUGUUAUUAGGGAAGAACAAAUGUGUAAGUAACUAUGCACGUCUUGACGGUACCUAAUCAAGAAGCCACGGCUAACUACGUG
rnacentral:rRNA from 1 species